AUCUGGCCGGGGACGCGGAGCAGGAUCGGAGUUGGAGUGAGAGACUGAAAGAAGACGGAAUCGUUUUGGGUGCCUGUUUACUGCCCCAGACAAGUCAAUAUCCCAAGCUGUACGUGGUCUGCCUGAGAAAUGUGACUGGAUUGAGGAUGUGUUGCAUGAGUUAUGGACAUUUCGUCAAAGAUCUUACAGAAUGCUGAGGUGCAGAGGAAGAAGUUAAACUUGUUAAAUUUUUAAAAGGAAAAUUAACUCUCAUUUUCUAUCCUGAAAGUGGUGACUCUAUGUAUAUUGGGUUACAGUGCCAUAGGCCCUCUGCUGUGACUUCUAACCAAACAGGCAAUACUUACAGAAAGAACUGA